rnacentral:rRNA from 1 species
UAAGGUGCGGAGCCGUAGCGAAAGCGAGUUUUAACUGAGCGUUCAGUUACUUGACGUAGACCCGAAACCGGGCGACCUACCCAUGGGCAGGAUGAAGCGAAAGUAAAAUUUCGUGGAGGUCCGAACCCACGAGCGUUGAAAAGCUCGGGGAUGACUUGUGGGUAGCGGUGAAAUUCCAAGCGAGCCCGGAGAUAGCUGGUUCUCCCCGAAAUAGCUUUAGGGCUAGCCUCAAGGUGAGAGAUACGGAGGUAGAGCACUGAAUGUCCUAGGGGGUAUUGCACCUACCGAAGACUAUCAAACUCCGAAU